rnacentral:tRNA from 1 species
GGCUCGGUAGGCAAUGGGCAGACCGGUCUGUCUCAAAAUCAGACGUGCUGUGGGUUCGACUCCCACCCGAGCCACAA